UCAUCUCCCGGCAAAACCACCCGCGAGAUGGAUUCGCAGCUCGUUGAAUUCUUAGGCUGGCAGCCAUCAGGCUCGGCUCAGGCGUGCUUGGGGACUCAUCCACCCACCUCAGCCGCCGCCGCACCUCGUUCUGAUCCCUCCUGUCCUAGUUUAGCCCGGCUGAUUUCCUCUGCAGCCGCCAGCACAGGAGCUCUGAGAUGCUGGUCCUGAAGCCUCCCUGUUCUGGGAUGAGCUUGGAGGGAGGCAGCUUCGCCUGUCCCAAGGAAUCCAACCUACAGAAGUGUCAGCAACACCUCUCGCCAGGACAUUGCGGGAAAUAAACUUGUGGAGCAUAAAUGGGCACGUUUUUGUAUCAUUUAUGCACAUCUGUAUCAGUAUGGUAUGGCUAAAAGGCUUUACCCAGCCGGUGAUGGGUGCCCUGCAGGUGUACCAAGCUAUCCUUGGUAGCUGCUCGUGGAGCCGUGCAGGAUUGCUCUUUGCACUUGGGUGGGUGUGUGUUACGGAGAGACUUGGUGUGCGUUCAGAAGGGGCUUUCUGAAAGCGAUUUUCAAAAGCUGAAGGCAGAAAGCUUGUCUCAGCGUGCAGGGCUUGAGCCUUGGUGCUGUGCGACUGAAGGGACAAAGAGGGGAGUUCAUGGGUGCAGACUGCCAGGCUUCACGGGCUCUGGCCCGGCCAGAUGCUUUGUGCAGUCUGCAUCUGGAGUUGGUUUGCUCCAGUUUAGGCUGAGCACCUGGGAGAAGGAUUCCUGUCUCCGCUGACAGUGACCUGGGUUGCUACCGAAAGCAUGAUACUGGAAUUAAAGGCCACCUUCUGCAAGUAUUAGCAUUACGUUCCCCUGCUCCCCAGAGCACUUAUCCUUGCGGUUGUUCAGAGAGAAAAGGGACGCAAAUCCAGCUAGCAUUAAUCUGUGAAAAACGCCAAGGGAGCAGUCACAUCACAAGUAUUAAUUAAGCCAUUAAUGAUGACCAUGGGUCAUUUAGGAGGCUGCCUUGUACAGUGCAUGGCAUUGUUGACCGAGGAUAGAAGCAGGGAUAUGUUUGCACCGUUUCUGCCAGAUACGGCGUUUCCUAUCCUCAACGAAAAACAUGAAGCUCUGAGCAGAGCCAUUAACUGUUGUCUCAGCAUUCGUGUCCGUGCAGUUAAUUUAAUGCCACCUCCGACAGGCUUGGCGCCCAGCUGCCUUAUGAAAUAUUCAUGGAGAGGAAAAGCAGUGGAACUUAUCUGUUCCAUGCCGUUCAGAUGCAACUUUGACUGAGACUUAAAGCCUGGCAGGAGCCUUUGGGGCAGGCUGGAAAGCUGCCUGGCUCUCCUGGGAGGGACACAGGGAGCGAGGCAGGGUGAGAGUGAGGGAAAGCAAGGGCUGACCUGAGAAAUGCAGAGAGCGGGGUGGGAUGUGGAUUGCUGCUCAGUUUGGCACAGGGAGCAGGUGAGCUGCGGGGUCUGGAGAGCCCCCCCCGACUGCAUCAGCUGGGGAUGUGACCCCAGAUCCCCGUCCCCAGAGAUGCUCCUUUGCCAGUCCUCAGCAUCCCCUGUUUUUAGCUGUCUCGUAAGAAACAGGGAGAAAAUAACCCCGGCUUCCCUGGCUCAGUGUCUCCUUACGCUCGUCCUUUCUCCUUUCCUCUGCCCUGAGGGUUUGGUUUGUUCACUCCUCCCAGUGGAAACGGUUGGCGAAAUGCUUCCCCGCGCACCUUCAUCUUCCUGCACCUGCUGGCACAAGGCAGCUCCUCUGAAACCUUCUUCCCCAGCCCGUAUGGCUGCAGCUCCAGGCAGCCGAGCAGCAUCCAGGACUGUGUAAUUAUAUCUCAGCGCCUGUUUCUGCUGGCAGCGUUAGCAAAGAGCAAGUGGUAACCGGGAAUUAUUGCCAGGGAGGAGAAGAGGUGAUGCUAUCUCUGCCACGGUUAUAUGCACGCUGCAUGAUUAAUCCGAGCUCGGUAGGGCUUCAGCAGCCACACAAUCCGCAAGGUAAACACAGCAGUGUGCAAGCAGGUGCUUCCCAGCAAUCGCAGACCUGGGUGCGUCGCGCCUCAUCCUCACGUGGACCGGCAGAGAUGCUUCCUGCGAGGUGUAAUUAACUCCUUGUCUUGCGCACAGCGGGAGCCUCGCGCCGCUGCGUGCACCGCGCACCUUGCAGGCUGCUAGCCCCUCGCAGCCUCUGCGUGGUAAUCCCGAGCUAAGGCUCCCCAUCCCGUGUGCUCCGUCGGUGCCCGGAUCGCGUGUUUCCUUGGAGCUUUGGGUCAGAAAAAGCGCAACUUGUCCACUUCAUAACCGUGCUGCUCCCAGUGGUGGUAGCUGGUUCCUGGCUGCGCACCCACCCCUCACCUUUCCUCGGCUCCAGGGGUGGGAACUGCAUCAGCUGCGCUGCUUUUGGGGUCCUGGCGCCCCUCUGUGAGGCUGUUCCAGGCUGGGGCUCACCGACGUCAUUUCCAGCAGCAGAAAAAACCUCGUGCAGUCGUGCCGAGGCCAGGGAUGUGCUGUGACAGAUGGGUGGCCAGCUCCCAGCACAGCCCAGCAGGUUAAUGGGGAGCCGGGGAAGAGAUUACGGCUCCCAGAGCUGGGGUCGCUGCCUGCCCCCUGCAACAGGAGCCGUGUGAAUGGCACCGUGGAGGAAGCAGGCAUGGUCGGCUGCUCUGGCUACUCCCAGUGUCUGGCUGCAAUUAAUUUAGGUUCAUUAACUCCCUUCUGGGCUUUGCAAUAUCAUCUCGUUCCUAUUCAAAGCCCACCCUGUGGCCUUUGCAGCACCAGCUCUGGCAGAGAAGGACCAGAAUAGCAGCACGUCUCUUCUAGUUUAAAUGCAAAACACCCGUCUGCCAUUUCCAGGAGCAAGAAGGACGUGGCCGGAGCCAAGUGACCAGGGGGAGUUUGGCAUUUUAGCGUUCUCUGCCCACUGCCCAUUCGCUAUUCUGCAGUCCCCGCAGGGUCCUGAGGGCCCUUUUGAAUGCCCAGGACCUGGAAUGUUACUUUUGCUCUUUGCAGCUGGAAAUCUUAAGGACUGAAGCUGUGUUUGCACACGGCUUGUACUACAACUGCUGCUAACUGAGUUAAAUUAAAACCAGGUAAUAUUCAAGCCGGUGACUCAUUUCUGCCAAAUCUCAGGUACCUGUCCCAAACCACAGAAGUGUUAGAUUUGUCAAAGAUCAGCAGCUGCACGUAUGCUAAUUCUCCUCCCCCUGCUUGAGAGCAAAAGUCAGCUCCCAUCCUCCGGCCCUGAAGCAUCCCCCGGGGCGCGUUCGCGUGGCAGCACAGGGCCAGGCAGGGAUGCCAGGUCGGAGGGAUCGAGCGAUUGCCGCGUUGGCACAGGGGCUCUUUAACGGGACUCUGCUCAGCAUCAUCCCUGCUGUUGCAGGUAUUCCUGUGAGCAUUUGGAGGCUGUACUGGAAGCCUGGACCAAAGCUUUAUCCUCCCCCCGCCCUUCCUUUUGGCUUCAGCCCCCAGCAUUUCAGGGGUGCCUUCAAGAACAUCCUGGGAUGAUGCCGUCCCCGCCUGCCUCCUUGGGGAGCAUUUCCUGCAGCUCCGUGAGAGAGAGAGGCUCGGUGUUCGUGAGUUAUAUCAUUCUUUAUAUCAUCGUUAAGAGUAGCAGGUAUUGAUGUACAAUGCAUCUGUCAUCUUAUUGUGCUUCCUAUGAAAAUGUGUGUACAUAGUACAGAUACCAGAGAGAAUUCAACACUUUAUACACUUGAAGGCAUU